CCCCGGGAGGGGAGUGAAAUAGAACCUGAAACCCUGCACUUACAAGCUGUGGAAGCACAUUUCUUGUGUGACCGCGUACUUUUUGUAGAACGGGCCAACGAGUUACGUUAAGUAGCAAGGUUAAGCACUUAAGGUGCGGAGCCGUAGCGAAAGCGAGUUUUAACUGAGCGUUCAGUUACUUGACGUAGACCCGAAACCGGGCGACCUACCCAUGAGCAGGAUGAAGCGAAAGUAAAAUUUCGUGGAGGUCCGAACCCACGAGCGUUGAAAAGCUCGGGGAUGACUUGUGGGUAGCGGUGAAAUUCCAAACGAGCCCGGAGAUAGCUGGUUCUCCCCGAAAUAGCUUUAGGGCUAGCCUCAAGGUGAGAGAUACGGAGGUAGAGCACUGAAUGUCCUAGGGGGUAUUGCACCUACCGAAGACUAUCAAACUCCGAAUGCCGUCAUCUUAUACUUGGGAGUCAGACUGUGGGUGAUAAGAUUCAUAGUCGAAAGGGCAACAGCCCAGAUCGUCAGCUAAGGUCCCUAAAUGUAAGUUAAGUGGUAAAGGAUGUGGGAUUGCACAGACAACCAGGAUGUUGGCUUAGAAGCAGCCACUCAUUCAAAGAGUGCGUAAUAGCUAACUGGUCGAGUGAUCCUGCGCCGAAGAUUUCCGGGGCUAAAACUUACUACCGAAGCUACGGCAUCAGUAAUGAUGGGUAGGGGGGAUUCCCGUACGGGUUGAAGGAUUGCCGGAAGGACAGGUGGAUAGGGUGGGAGUGAGAAUGUUGGCAUGAGUAGCGAGAUGUGGGGGAGAAUCCCACAGGCCGUAAACCCAAGGUUUCCAGGGGAAGGUUCGUCCGCCCUGGGUUAGUCGGGACCUAAGCUGAGGCCGAAAGGCGUAGGUGAUGGACAACAGGUUGAUAUUCCUGUACUACCGAUAACCGUUUGAGAGAAGGGAUGACACAGUAGGAUAAGCUAAGCACACUGUUGGUUAUGUGUGCCCAAGCAUUGAGGCAGUCAAAGUAGGCAAAUCCGCUUUGAUAAUGCUGGGAUGUGAUGGGGAGCGAAAUUUAGUAGCGAAGUAGCUGAUUUCACACUGUCAAGAAAAGUCUCUAUCGAGGUUAAAGGUACCCGUACCGCAAACCGACACAGGUGGGUGAGGAGAGUAUCCUAAGGCCAGCGAGAGAACUGUUGUUAAGGAACUCGGCAAAAUGACCCCGUAACUUAGGGAUAAGGGGUGCCACCAUCAGGUGGCCGCAGAGAAUAGGCCCAAGCGACUGUUUACCAAAAACAUAGGUUUCUGCUAAGUCGCAAGACGAUGUAUAGGAGCUGACGCCUGCCCGGUGCUGGAAGGUUAAGGGGAUCUGUUAGAGCAAUCGAAGCAGUGAACUUAAGCCCCAGUAAAC
rnacentral:rRNA from 1 species